rnacentral:rRNA from 1 species
UACGUAGGGUGCAAGCGUUGUCCGGAAUCAUUGGGCGUAAAGCGCGCGUAGGUGGCUCUGUAAGUCCGUUGUGAAAGUCAAAGGCUCAACCUUUGAAUGCCGAUGGAUACUGCAGAGCUAGAGUACGGAAGAGGCGAGUGGAAUUCCUGGUGUAGCGGUGGAAUGCGCAGAUAUCAGGAGGAACACCAAUAGCGAAGGCAGCUCGCUGGGACGUUACUGACACUAAGGCGCGAAAGCGUGGGGAGCGAACGAGG